UAUUAAAAAAAAAAAUAUAAUUCCUUAUUAUUCAAAAAAAAAUACAAAUCUCCAGAGAAGGGGCGCUGAAGCCCUAGGAGAGAACGUGACCCUGGAGACGACGGAGACUAAAUCCUCACCUUUGUCACACACACCUCACAUCCCGGCUUCUAGUUCUCGUUCUUCUUCGCUCUUAGCUCCUUUCCGUUGCAUCUCCUUCUAUAUUACGGGGAGGAAGUGAGAAUGAGUGACUGUACUAUGGUGGUGGGCAAAAAGACUGCAGAGGAAGAAGAUUUGGUGAGGCAUAACAUCAAAAAAAUGAAAUCGAAUGGAGAUGAAGUUCUUACUGAAUUUGAGGAGGAUGAGACAGAAGAUAUAUAUGAAGCAAUUCCUAAGCUGAAUAAGCAAACAGGGCCUGAUAAGAUGGAGGCAGAUUUUAAGCAGAAUAAGACUCCCUCAACUGGGAUUUUGACGGAAGGCGAAGUGCCUAGAGGGUCCCGACAGCAACGUAUAUCAUACAUGGAUAGCUUGAUGCAUGGUGAUACUGGUAUGGUGCUAUCUUCGGAUGAAAUCGUGCAAAUGGUCACAGAGGAGUAUGAUAUGGAGGAAGUCACCGGAGGAGGUAAUACAGAUCUAGCUCCUUUCAAUCCUAAACCUGUAGUUGAUGUUUCAUUAGAGGAAUAUGACAUGUGGUGUAAAUCAUGGAAAGGCUCAUUGAUUGUUAAACUCCUGGAAAAAACUAUCGGUUAUCACGCUAUUGAAACCUGGAUAAGAAGAGUUUUGACGCGAAAAGGGAAUGUCAAUGUUAUGGAUCUCAUAGGAGACUUUUUUCAGGUCCGUUUCUCGGAUGAAGGGGACUGCCAUGCUCUUUUUUAGGGUUCCUGGCAGGUGGCGAAUCACUACCUUCUAGUGCAGAGAUGGAGGCCAUUUUUUCUCCCUUCUAAUCAACCGGUAUAGAAACUAGCAAUAUGGAUUCAAAUUCCAGGCUUUUCGGUCGAACUAUACACGAAGCAAUUCCUCUGGAGAGUGGGUGGAAAGCUAGGUACAAUGUUAAAGGUUGAUCACACUACUUCCAUACAUUCAAGGGAAAAAUUUGCUCACAUAUGUGUUGAGAUUGACUUGAGCAAGCAAUUAGUGCCAGCCAUUCAAGUACUUAGCAGAGAGUUCAAGAUUGAAUAUGAGGGUCUCCACAUGAUUUAAUUUGCUUUGGUUGUGGCAAAUAUGGUCAUAGGAUGGACCAAUGUUCCGAAGGAAAGAAAAAGGAGGCAUCACUAGUGACGAAUUCAAUGCCGUUGGGAGAUCCGAUGUUGGAUGGGAUGGAAUUAGAAGGUGCAAAAAAAGGAGAGACUAGCGGUCAUAAUUCAAUUUUGAACAAUCCUCAAGCAGAUUCCAAGGAACCAAAUCCCGUGAAUGAGGGUAACCCAGAAGGGGUGGUUAUUCAUGAAGAUCUUAGUUACUUCGGACUGUGGAUGUUGGCUAAAAGAAAGCAAAAACGCAAUGGGCAACCUAAACAAGGCUUUGAUACUGUGCCUGCUAGAAGCCAAACCAAGAAGUCAGGUUCCAGGUUUGAAGUCUUGGUCUAGGAAUAGUUAGAAACGGAUGGUCCACUAGUUCAUGAGGAAAAGUUGAAAAGCUCAUCAGGUAACAUCAACAAACCUUCUAUUGCAAAACAUCACUAUCAUGCGGGUUCUUCAAAUAAAGUGGCUCAACAAGAUCUUCAGAGAAACAAAACAAAUAAUGUUAGAAUUCCUAAUAAUCAAGUUUCUCAACAUGAGAAAAUGAAGGAUAAAAUAGAUUAUUUGAACCCCAAUUUGGUGAGGAAGAAAACUGAUGAUUAUUGGCUCUCCUUGGAGCUCAUUAAGCAAGCUAGAUACAUGCCGAGAGGUGACUCUUUGUGCUUGGGUGAAGGUAACGUUUAGACCCAUUACCCAUCUAAGGAAGUUAUGAAAGCGGUGAAUCUGCUUCACAACAGGGCUCGAGGCAGUAUGCAGGAAUCCAAACCUCCUGAUCUAGGAAAGACCCCUGUAGAUAUAGCUCCCAGUAAUGAUCAACUAUCCCUUGCGUUGGGUAGCAAUCAGGAAAGCAUGGUGGUGGAUUCAGUUACCGCCAACGUUCACUCUAUCCAGAACCAUAUUGGUAUCUUACUCUGGUGUAUGGGUCUCCCCAUCUUAGCCUCCGUUAUGAACUAUGGAGUGGGAUGAAGGAUUUAGCAGGGCAAAUCUCCGGAGAAUGGUUCGUGGGGGACGAUUUCAAUUGUGUUCUCUCGGUGGCAGAUACUGGGGGAACUUCUGGCCUAUCUCGUGACUCACAAUGUUUUUCUGGGUGUCUUUUAGAUUGUGGUCUUCAAGAUAUUGGAUUUCAUGGUCAACCAUUCACAUGGCAACAUGGUGUAAUACGUAGGCGGCUAGAUAGCAUGGCUUUCGCAUGAGGAUUUUGAGAAUUUUCUUGGAAGGACCUAGAGGAAUGAUGUUUUUUUAGAAACUAAUGUGAGUAAUUUUAUGGAAGCAGCAAAAAGUUGGAAUGAGGAUGUGUUCGGUAAUCUGGCUCGUAGGAAAGCUCGAAUUCUAGCUCGGCUAAAUGGUAUUUUGGAGCAUAUUCGGUUUCAUAUUAAUCCCUUUCUUGAUGAUUUACAAUCUUUGCUUUGGAAGGAGUUGUAGGCUAUUUUAAUUCAAGAGGAAAUUUAUUGGAAACAAUGCUCUCGUUGUAAGUGGAUCAAUUUCGGAGAUAAAAAUACUUCCUACUUCCAUAAUAUGGUAACUGCGAGGAGAAGAAAAAAUAGAGUUACUAUGCUGAAGAAUUUUGAGGGUGAUUGGGUAGAGAUGCGAAUUUGCUAUGCAACCUCGGAGUUCAACAUUUUCGGAAUCUUUAUACAGAGAAUAAUACUUAUAUAAAAUUGGAGGCUCCAGGUUUGUUCCCAAAGCUAAAUUUGGCAGAAAGGAGUGAGCUUGGCAGAGGGGUGACGCUAGAAGAGAUUUCUUCUGCUCUUUUUUCGAUAAGAUCUUGGAAGGCGCUAGGGCCAGAUGGGCUCCCUGCUAUGUUCUUCCAAAGUAAAUGGAAUAUAGUGAAAUCCCCUCUAACGAGUUGGGUGGCACAUAUUUUCAAUAAUCAUGAUGCUAUUAAGGUAGUUAAUCAGACGUUCAUUUCCUUAAUUCCGAAGAAAGAAACUCCAGAGAACAUUAACCACUUUUGGCCCAUUGGACUCUGCAAUGUUUCAUACAAGCUUGUCACUAAGAUCAUUGCUCAGAGGCUUAAAGUGGUAAUGCCAAAGCUGAUCAGUUCAUCUUAGUGUGCUUUUGUUCUGGGGAGACAAAGUGCGGACAACAUUGUAGCGGCCCAAGAAGCUAUUCAUAUUAUGAAAGCAAAGAAGGGCCUAUUGGUUAUAUGGCGGUGAAAAUUGAUCUUGAAAAGGCUUAUGAUCGCCUUAACUGGAACUUUAUACAUGAUACUCUCGUGGAAGCCAAGCUGCAUAAGAACCUGAUCGAUCUUAUUGUUCAGUGCUAUUCCUCGGGUGAAAUGAAAGUUCUUUGGAAUGGGAGUCCCUCAUCCUCUUUUUCUCCUUCCAGAGGUGUUCGGCAAGGUGAUCCUAUUUUACUGUACUUUUUUGUCCUCUGCAUUGAACAAUUGGCCCAAAUUAUCUCUGUUGCAGUUAAUAAUAACUUGUGGGUUUCUAUCAUGCUUCGUCGUGGAGGUCCGAAGCUGUUGUACCUUUGUUUCGCUGAUGAUAUUGUACUCUUUGGUGAGGCUUCUUUGGAGCAGGUGGGUCUGAUUAGAGGUAUUUUGGAUUUCUUUUGUCGUAGCUCUGGCCAAAAAGUGAGUUAUGAGAAAUCUUGUAUUUUCUUCUCCGAUAAUGUGUCUUUUACUAGGAAUCUAGAAAUGAGCGAGGCCUUAGGGAUGCGUUUGACCUCUAAUUUGGGAAAGUAUAUUGGUGUUCCUUUACUUCAUAGGCGAACCAAGAAGGAUGAUUUUUACUUUAUUGAGGAGAGGAUGUAGAGUAGAUUGAGUAUUUGGAAGGCAAGAAAUCUUUCUUUAGCUGCACGAGUAACAUUAACUCAAUCUGCUUUAGCUACCAUAUCAUACAUUAUGCAAACCAUGAAGAUUCCUUUGAGCAUAUGUGACAAAAAUUGACAAAAUUUGUCGAAAUUUUAUUUGGGGCAGUGACUCUAAUAUGAAGAAGUCUCAUCUAAUCAGCUGGGACAGAAUAUGCCAAUCCAAGCAGCAAAGGGGUCUGGGCCUGAGAUCGGCUAGGAUCCUGAAUAAUGCAAAUAUGAUGAAACUAGCAUGGAGGUUAAUUCAUGAUAGGGAGACCAUGUGGGUAAAGGUUUUGAGGAAUAAAUAUGGCGGUGAUACUCUUAUUCCAAAAAUAACCAAACCUCAAUCUUGUUCUAAUGUGUGGAAGGGAAUCUGUCAAGUUUGGAAGCGGUUUGAAGGCAACCUUAUUUGGAGAUUAGGUGCUGGUAAUACAACUCGAUUCUGGGUUGACCACUGGCUGCCUGGUGUGUAUCGGCUUGUUGAUUUUGUUCAGAAUGGUAUAUUAGAGGAUAGGCUGGAAGAUAGAGUUUGUGACUAUGUUUCGGGCUCAAAUUGGGAUUUUAAUCUUAUUUUGGAGUUACUGGGCGAGAACUGGGCUCCCAUUUUUGCCGCGACAAAACCUCCUGAAGCGAGCUUUGGGGAUGACCAAGUGGCUUUGUUGCACUCAGCAAAUGGCUCCUUUUCCAUUAAGUCGGCCUGCUCCAUUUAUCUGGAAACCCCUGAGGACUCGGCUGCUAGUCUGUUUUUGAAGGUUUGGAAGCUUAAUGCCCUCAAAGAAUCCGAGCUUUUUGUUGGUUGGUUGCAAAUGAUGCCUUACUCACUAAUGCUCUGCGAUUUAGAAAGGGGAUGAUUCAAGAUGAUAUUUGCAAGAUCUGUGGAAACUUUCCUGAAUCUGUGCUCCAUGUCCUCCGUGAUUGUAGAAUUGCGUACACGACGUGGAAGAGCAUAAACAAUUCAUUGGGUCUUGAUAAUUUCUUCAACAAACCUCUUUAAUUUUGGCUUUUGGAGAACCUGUCAUCCCAAUCCACCUACCAAGGUAUUCCUUGGCCCCUACUUUUCUCUUGUAUCAUGAAUACUCCUUGGUUUCGUCGGAAUAAGUAUAUCUUUGAAGAGGAUCAAACUAUGCCAGAGGGUGCUGUCCAUUUGGCUGCUCUUCCGCUAGCUUGAGAUUAUCCUGCUGCCCAGUCUAAGUUUAGCAGAAUAAGGAGAAAUAUUGGUUCUUUUAUGGAAAAGAAGAUUCAUUAAACUAAAUAUAGAUGGUUCAGUGUCAAAGGAGGGAAAGGCUGCGUGUGGUGGCAUUUUGCGGGAUCAUGAAGGACAAUUCUUAGCUUGUUUUAGCACCAAUCUAAGUGUUUGUACUAUUACUGUGGCUGAAUUGUGGGGGCAUACUUCUUGAUACGGAAUUAGCUAUUCACUUGAGUAUUGCUAAUCUCGCUAUUUAGAUUGAUUCAAGAGUUGCAGUUUCGUUAUGUCUGAAUGAUAAUAUCGAUCUCCAUAGAGCUCGCACGCUCAUCAUGGCUAUUAAAGACAGGUUCAACAAGUUUUCAUGUUGGGAGCUUCACCAUGAAUUUCGAGAAGCAAAUUGGUGUGCCGAUCGUUUAGCAUCUAAUGGACACUCUCUGGAGUUUGGUUGUCAUUUCUUUUAUAAUUUAUCUUCUUGUAUUUCGUCCUAUUUUCUUUUUGAUGCUAUGAGCGUCUCCUUCUCUAAAAUAGUUUUUACAUAGUGUU